rnacentral:pre_miRNA from 1 species
AAUAUUUGACGCCGUUGACUUUUUAGCACAUGUUUGACCAUUCGUCUUAUUCAAAAAAUUUAAAUAAUUAUUAAUUCUUUUCUUAUCAUUUGAUUCAUUGUUAAAUAUAUUUUUAUGUAGGCAUAUAAUUUUACAUAUUUCACAAAAGUUUUUAAUAAGACGAACGGUCAAACAUGUGCUAAAAAAUCAACGGUGUCAAAUAUU